GCCGAUGUAGCUCAGUUGGUCAGAGCAGCUGAUUUGUAAUCAGCAGGUCGUGGGUUCGACUCCCUCUAUCGGCU
rnacentral:tRNA from 1 species